rnacentral:lncRNA from 10 species
GUGAGUUUUAGCAGUUCGUUGGAUGCUGUCUUCCUAGAAAAUAUAUGGAAAAAUAAUCCCUCUUCUCUUCCCUGGACAGCUAUGGAAGAGAACUUUUGUUAUGAUCCUUGAAGUUAAUUGACAGCAAGCCUUGAUGAACUUACGGGGAGGAGAAGAUAAAAAGUAAUAAUAGAAUAAGAAAACAGAAGUGUGAUGUAAAGACACAAUUGGAGACACUGAUUGUUUCACCAAGGCUUUAUCUGAAAUGCCAUGUUUUCAGACUGUUUUCAAAAAUUGGAGUUGACUUAUAGAGCCAAUAAAAACCCCUUGGAGAAACUGGCCUCAUGUCUUAUCUAUCCAGUCCCUGUACAAGAUUCCUGUGAGUGGGAGCUAUCCAUAAAAUGGGCAACAAUCAACAAUAACAACAGAAGUAUGUCUUCCAUGUGUUUAAUACUUUCUGGGAACAUGAAGCAGUUGAACUGUGAAGAGUCCUAAGUCUUUCUGUUGCAUCCCUCCUUUUACUCUUCCCUGGCUUCUUGCCAGCACUGGAGUCAUGUGGAAUCUCCAUGGCUCCUGAAGUUUCUCAUUUUCAACACCAGGUGGUAAAUCCUGGGCAUCCUUCUUUGAAGGCAUUUAUAAACCAAGAGGAAGUGAGAGGAGGAUCCUGUUGAAGGCUGGAAUGAAAGUCUUUAGGUUCCAGAGCAGCUUUUAGUUUGAAGGAAAUUUAGUCACCCCUUCAAAUGUCAUCAGGAGUAGAUUCCAUGUGAUGGCAACUCACUGUAAGUAGUUGUACUCUGCUUUCAGUAACUCUAACAACAUUCAUCUGGGAGAUAGUUAAUUCAAGCUUUGGUUACGCUGACAGCAAAAUUAAUCUUCCAAGGAGAUGUACUAUAUAGACAUUGAAGAUGAGAUAUCAGAUUCAGUGUAAACAUCUCUGUCAGUGAAAAGAGCUGGAGUUAUAGCCAGGCAAAUGCGUUAGAAAUUACUUCAUUAGGACAUAUCAUAGAAGUAGAUGAAUUGAGAAAAAAAGUGUCUACUUCAAGCAAAUUAUGCAAUUUUUAAAUGAAGGCUAGAAAAAAUAAGCAUACUUUAAUUUAUCACAAUUAUGGACAAUAGUGAAGAAUCCAUAUACUUGCUCCAAUCAGUAAAUGGCUGCAUUGCUUAAUCUCAUCAAUAAUGAAAGUGCUACAGUCGGUGCUCUGAGAAACAAUUCUUAACAUAAGGCACCAGUUGGUCUGGGAAUAGCACAGUUUAAAAACCAAUAAAAACUAAUCUCAAACUGUGACAUCGUAUUAUCCUGCCAUGAGAUACAUUUUAUCAGAGGGAGCAAACAAAUAUCUAUAGAAUUUAUUUUGAAACAUAUAUUUAUGUCAUUUGUCUCUUCAAAUUAUGCCAGGAUCAAAUAAGCUGAGUGAAGUAUUACUGGAUGUGAACUAAAUUAUGGUAUAACAAAUAAGAUCAUAUUUCCCCAAACAUGUAAUCUAUCACUGAGCUAUUUGGUACAGUACACUACACUUAAAAGAGAUACAUUCUCCAAGAUCUAUACAUUAAAAAGAACUCUAAUGGUAACUGAUACACACAAAAGUGGGUGGCUGUAAAGGAAAAAAAAACUAACCAAAAGUUUUCCAAUAUUUUAAAGUCACAUAGUUUAAACAUGUUGAAAUAUAGAAACUUAACCAGGCAGUUACAUUAUUCUGGUAUCUUUUUAGUGUGGAUUUUGGUUGCACUUAGGAACAGAUGCAUCACUAUAGGGUGCAUUUAAAUAUGUACUUUAUAGCUGAGAAAAAAAGAUCAGAUUCAGUGGUAUUUUCAAUGGAAAUAUGAAAGAAUCAUAAUUGCCACUAAAAUGUCUACAGGUAACCCUUCUUAGUUAAUACAUCAAUGCACCUCAGCACAUUUUAUGGAAUCUUAGGCUGUGUGGAAAACAGUUAAUGAAACUUUAACCUAGUAACUGUGGGGGCCAAUGCCCUUGACCCCCUAAAACUCGCUGAAAAAUUACUGAUAUGAGGCACAUUGAUUAAUAGAAUAAAAACUUACAAAUUUGCUUAACAUGUAUACAUGGGAGCCUUCAGCAUAAAGACCCAAAGAUACAGAAAAAAUUGUCCAUUUUUUUCAGCUUUUAUUUUAGGAUUGGGGGUACAUGUGCAGGUUUAUUGCAAACAUAUAUUGCAUGAUGUUGAGACUUGUAGUAUGAAUGAAUCCAUCACGUAGGUAGUGAGCAUAGUUCCCAAUAGUUUUUCAGCCCUUGCUCCCCUCUCUCUCCCUGCCUAGUAGUACCCAAUGUUUAUUGUUCCCAUCUUUGUGUCCAUGUGUACCUAAUAUGCAGCUACAACUUGUAAGUGAAAACAUGCAGUUUUCUGUUUCUGCAUUAAUUCACUUAGUAUAAUGGCCUCCAGCUGCAUCCAUGCUGCUGCAGAGGACAUUAUUUCAUUCUUUUUUAUGGCUGUGUAGUAUUCUGUGGUGUAUAUGUACCACAUUUGCUUUAUCCAGUCCACCACUGAUAGGCACUUGGGUUGAUUCCAUGUCUUUGCUAUUGUGAACAGAGCUGAGAUGAACACACAGGGUAAGUGUCUUUUCAGUAGAAUGACAUAUUUUCCUUUGAAAGUGGGAUUGCUGAGUUGAAUGAUAGUUCAACUCUUAGUUCUUUGAGAAAUCUUCAAACUGGUUCCCACAGUGGCUGCGCUAACUUACAUUCCCAUCCACAGUGCCUAAGUGUUCCUUUUUCUCUGCAGGCUCACCAACAUCUGUUUUUUUUUUUUACUUUAAAAAAAAAGCCAUCCUGACUGCUGUGAGAUGAUCUCUCAUUGUGGUUUUCAUCUGCCAAAUUGUCCGUUUUUAUGCUUAGGUUCAACACAGUAUGGAUAGCUGUGUAGAAAUAUAACUGAACUAGGCCGGGCGCGGUGGCUCACGCCUGUAAUCCCAGCACUUUGGGAGGCUGAGGCGGGCGGAUCACGAGGUCAGCAGAUCGAGACCAUCCCGGCUAAAACGGUGAAACCCCGUCUCUAUUAAAAAUACAAAAAAAAAUCAGCCGGGCGUAGUGGCGGGCGCCUGUAGUCCCAGCUACUUGGGAGGCUGAGGCAGG